UACGUUGGGGGCAAGCGUUGUCCGGAUUUAUUGGGCGUAAAGAGCGUGUAGGCGGCUUGGAAGGUCAGCUGUGAAAACUCGAGGCUCAACCUCGAGACGUCGGUUGAAACCACCUGGCUAGAGUCCGGAAGAGGAGAGUGGAAUUCCCGGUGUAGCGGUGAAAUGCGCAGAUAUCGGGAAGAACACCCGUGGCGAAGGCGGCUCUCUGGGACGGUACUGACGCUGAGACGCGAAAGCGUGGGGAGCGAACAGG
rnacentral:rRNA from 1 species